AAUAAAUUUCUAAAAG
rnacentral:sRNA from 1 species